AUGCGCCGGGGAACGUCAGGCCGCGUGGACCCGCCGCGUUUGACCGUUUUUGACGCAAAUGGAGGUUCCGGGAGGUCCAGGUGCUGAGAAAGAGCAGAAGGCGAGGAGCAUCCGGACGCCCAGCCCAGGUGUGAGGACACGUCUGCACAUGCAGGCCUGACUUGUCUUUCCCCAUGUCGGGAGAAACCCAGAAUCGGAGUUCAAGCUGAGACGCCGAAGCAGCCCGCGACGUGGCCAGCCUGUGGCCAGUCUCCCUAAUCCCGAGGAAUCAGCAAAGCAGAUAAAUCAUAAAAGCUGACUGGGGACCACGCUGCUGUCUCUGACCACACGGUCCACGCGUGUGACGUGCCCUUCGGCAGUGCCUAAGCCACUGGCCAGUGCCCGGAGAGGGCCGGGUCCCGCCCUCCACACAGGACAGGCCCGCCGGGGCCUUCUGACAGGUCUUCCAUGAAGUCAUUCAGGUGCCGAGCGGACGCUGCCAGCCGGGGAGCGAGAGUGGAACAGAGCAGACCCCCAAGAUGCUUCACUUAUUUUAUUUUUUAAAGCACAUCAGAAUUGUGUCAUCUUUCUAAGAGAAACGAGAAGAAAACGUGUUGAUGUGAGCUGGAGCCACAUUCGCGUGUUCA